GACGAACGCUGGCGGCGUGCUUAACACAUGCAAGUCGAACGGAAAGGCCCUGCUUUUGUGGGGUGCUCGAGUGGCGACCGGGUGAGUAACACGUGAGUAACCUGCCCUUGACUUUGGGAUAACUUCAGGAAACUGGGGCUAAUACCGGAUAGGAGCUCCUGCUGCAUGGUGGGGGUUGGUAAGUUUCGGCGGUUGGGGAUGGACUCGCGGCUUAUCAGCUUGUUGGUGGGGUAGUGGCUUACCAAGGCUUUGACGGGUAGCCGGCCUGAGAGGGUGACCGGCCACAUCGGGACUGAGAUACGGCCCAGACUCCUACGGGAGGCAGCAGUGGGGAAUAGUGCACAAUGGGCGGAGGCCUGAUGCAGCAACGCCGCGUGCGGGAUGACGGCCUUCGGGUUGUAAACCGCUUUCGCCUGUGACGAAGCGUGAGUGACGGUAAUGGGUAAAGAAGCACCGGCUAACUACGUG
rnacentral:rRNA from 1 species